rnacentral:rRNA from 1 species
AUUGAACGCUGGCGGCAUGCCUUACACAUGCAAGUCGAACGGUAACGGGCCUUCGGGUGCCGACGAGUGGCGAACGGGGGAGUAAUACAUCGGAACGUGCCCGAUCGUGGGGGAUAACGAGGCGAAAGCUUUGCUAAUACCGCAUACGAUCUACGGAUGAAAGCAGGUGACCGCAAGGCCUUUCCCGGCCGGAGCGGCCGAUGUCAGAUUAGGUAGUUGGUGGGAUAAAAGCUUACCAAGCCGACGAUCUGUAGCUGGUCUGAGAGGAUGAUCAGCCACACUGGGACUGAGACACGGCCCAGACUCCUACGGGAGGCAGCAGUGGGGAAUUUUGGACAAUGGGCGCAAGCCUGAUCCAGCCAUGCCGCGUGCAGGAUGAAGGCCUUCGGGUUGUAAACUGCUUUUGUACGGAACGAAAAGCCUUCUUUUAAUACAGGAGGGUCAUGACGGUACCGUAAGAAUAAGCACCGGCUAACUACGUG